CCUACGGGAGGCAGCAGUAGGGAAUUUUCCACAAUGGGCGAAAGCCUGAUGGAGCAACGCCGCGUGGGUGAAGAAGGUCUUCGGAUCGUAAAACCCUGUUGUUAGAGAAGAAAGUGCGUGAGAGUAACUGUUCACGUUUCGACGGUAUCUAACCAGAAAGCCACGGCUAACUACGUGCCAGCAGCCGCGGUAAUACGUAGGUGGCAAGAGUUAUCCGGAUUUAUUGGGCGUAAAGGGAACGCAGGCGGGCUUUUAAGUCUGAUGUGAAAGCCUUCGGCUUAACCGGAGUAGUGCAUUGGAAACUGGGAGACUGGAGUGCAGAAGAGGAGAGUGGAAGUCAAUGGGUAGCGGUGAAAUGCGUAGAUAUAUGGAAGAACACCAGUGGCGAAAGCGGCUCUCUGGUCUGUAACUGACGCUGAGGUUCGAAAGCGUGGGUAGCAAACAGGAUUAGAUACCCGGGUAGUC
rnacentral:rRNA from 1 species